GCUUAGUGAGGCUUUCGGACUGGCCCAGGGGAGUCGGCAACGACACCCCAGAGCUGGAAAGUUGUCCAAACUUGGUCGUUUAGAGGAAGUAAAAGUCGUAACAAGGUUUCCGUAGGUGAACCUGCGGAAGGAUCAUUAAUGUUAUAGCAACCCUCUGGCUGAAAAUGCCAGGGGGCACAUCUAUACCACCCUUUGUUUAUCACACCUUUGUUGCUUUGGCAGGCCAGUCUUCGGACUGCCGGCUCCGGCCGGACAGCGCCUGCCAGAGGACCUAAACUCUGUUUGUCUAUAAUGUCUGAGUACUAUAUAAUAGUUAAAACUUUCAACAACGGAUCUCUUGGUUCUGGCAUCGAUGAAGAACGCAGCGAAAUGCGAUAAGUAAUGUGAAUUGCAGAAUUCAGUGAAUCAUCGAAUCUUCGAACGCACAUUGCGCCCCCUGGUAUUCCGGGGGGCAUGCCUGUUCGAGCGUCAUUACAACCCUCAAGCUCUGCUUGGUAUUGGGCCCCGCCGACCCGGCGAGCCCUAAAAUCAGUGGCGGUGCCGUCUGGUUCCGAGCGUAGUAAUUCUUCUCGCUUUGGAGGCCGGGCGUGUGCUUGCCAGCAACCCCCAAUUUUUUUCAGGUUGACCUCGGAUCAGGUAGGGAUACCCGCUGAACUUAAGCAUAUCAUUAAGCGGAGGAAAAGAAACCAACAGGGAUUACCCCAGUAACGGCGAGUGAAGCGGUAACAGCUCAAAUUUGAAAUCUGGCCUCACGGUCCGAGUUGUAAUUUGUAGAGGAUGCUUCGAGCAUGGUCUGGCCUAAGUUCCUUGGAACAGGACGUCAUAGAGG
rnacentral:rRNA from 1 species